GGCAGCAGUGGGGAAUCUUCCACAAUGGACGAAAGUCUGAUGGAGCAACGCCGCGUGAGUGAAGAAGGUUUUCGGAUCGUAAAACUCUGUUGUAAGGGAAGAACAAGUACAGUAGUAACUGGCUGUACCUUGACGGUACCUUAUUAGAAAGCCACGGCUAACUACGUGCCAGCAGCCGCGGUAAUACGUAGGUGGCAAGCGUUGUCCGGAAUUAUUGGGCGUAAAGCGCGCGCAGGCGGUCCUUUAGGUCUGAUGUGAAAGCCCACGGCUCAACCGUGGAAGGCCAUUGGAAACUGGGGGGCUUGAGUGCAGAAGAGGUUAGUGGAAUUCCAAGUGUAGCGGUGAAAUGCGUAGAGAUUUGGAGGAACACCAGUGGCGAAGGCGACUAACUGGUCUGUAACGGACGCUGAGGCGCGAAAGCGUGGGGAGCAAACAGGAUUAGAUACCCUGGUAGUCCACGCCGUAAACGAUGAGUGCUAAGUGU
rnacentral:rRNA from 1 species